rnacentral:tRNA from 1 species
AAAAUGAUAAGCUAAAGAAGCUAAUGGGUUCAUACCCCAUAUAUAGAGUAAAUCUUCAUUUUA